UGGGGAAUUUUGGACAAUGGACGCAAGUCUGAUCCAGCCAUGCCGCGUGCGGGAAGAAGGCCUUCGGGUUGUAAACCGCUUUUGUCAGGGAAGAAACGAGUUUCUCUAAUACAGAGACUUAAUGACGGUACCUGAAGAAUAAGCACCGGCUAACUACGUGCCAGCAGCCGCGGUAAUACGUAGGGUGCGAGCGUUAAUCGGAAUUACUGGGCGUAAAGCGUGCGCAGGCGGUUAUAUAAGACAGAUGUGAAAUCCCCGGGCUCAACCUGGGAACUGCAUUUGUGACUGUAUAGCUAGAGUACAGUAGAGGGGGAUGGAAUUCCGCGUGUAGCAGUGAAAUGCGUAGAUAUGCGGAGGAACACCGAUGGCGAAGGCAAUCCCCUGGACCUGUACUGACGCUCAUGCACGAAAGCGUGGGGAGCAAACA
rnacentral:rRNA from 1 species